rnacentral:rRNA from 1 species
UACGUAGGGACCAAGCGUUGUUCGGAUUUACUGGGCGUAAAGGGCGCGUAGGCGGCAAUUCAAGUCAGCUGUGAAAUCUCCGGGCUUAACUCGGAACGGUCAGCUGAUACUGCUUUGCUAGAGUGCAGAAGGGGCAAUCGGAAUUCUUGGUGUAGCGGUGAAAUGCGUAGAUAUCAAGAGGGAACACCUGAGGUGAAGACGGGUUGCUGGGCUGACACUGACGCUGAGGCGCGAAAGCUAGGGUAGCAAACGGGG